GUCAGCAGCCCACGCCCCGUCCCAUCCUCCAGGCCUCCCGAGAGGCCAGAGGCUCAGCGCUGGCCAGCACCUCCCCUGGCCACGGCUCGGGCUGCGGCGCAGCCCCAGUCCAGCCCCGACUCCCUCUGCUGCUGUAGGCGUUGGGAGCCGCCCUGUUCAUCCUUUCCACCUCCACGCCUGCCCGGCCCUCCUGCCAAGCCUGGAAGCAGCAGUCAAAAGCGGGGCGGGCGUGUGGCCGGGUCUGGCCGGCUGCUGGGCUGGGACUCCGGGCAGGCGUUGCAGACGGAAGCCUGACAUGGACCCGCACUGGGGACUCUCCUGCCUCAGCCUCCUGUGUCUCCUGACGCUGGCCCCAGGUCAAAGGGACUUUGACUUGGCCGACGCCCUGGAUGACCCCGAACCCACAAAGAAGCCAAGCUCGGAUGGGCACCCGCGGCCAAAGCCUCCUUACCCGCAGCCCGAGAGCCCCGGCCACGGCGGAGGUAAGGAUCCCAGUGUGCUGGGUGGGGCCUCGCUGCCUGUCACCCCCACCCUCGGGGAGGCUGAGGCAGGAGGACAUCAAGUUCACGGGCGGCGUGGGGGGCUCCGUGAGACGCUCUGUCACGAAAAGCAAUAAAAAGGGUCACGGGGCAGCUGAGGGUCAGGCUGGGGGUGAACGUG
rnacentral:lncRNA from 1 species